rnacentral:rRNA from 1 species
AACGAACGCUGGCGGUAUGCCUAACACAUGCAAGUCGAACGAGAUCUUCGGGUCUAGUGGCGCACGGGUGCGUAACGCGUGGGAAUCUGCCCUUUGGUUCGGAAUAACAGUUGGAAACGACUGCUAAUACCGGAUGAUGACGAAAGUCCAAAGAUUUAUCGCCAGAGGAUGAGCCCGCGUAGGAUUAGCUAGUUGGUGUGGUAAAGGCGCACCAAGGCAACGAUCCUUAGCUGGUCUGAGAGGAUGAUCAGCCACACUGGGACUGAGACACGGCCCAGACUCCUACGGGAGGCAGCAGUGGGGAAUAUUGGACAAUGGGCGAAAGCCUGAACCAGCAAUGCCGCGUGAGUGAUGAAGGCCUUAGGGUUGUAAAGCUCUUUUACCCGGGAUGAUAAUGACAGUACCGGGAGAAUAAGCUCCGGCUAACUCCGUGCCAGCAGCCGCCGUAA